GGGGUCUGUAGCUCAGUUGGUUAGAUCGCACCUGCCUUGCACUCAGGGUGAGGUCAGGUGGUUCGAGUCCUCCUCGGCUCCACCA
rnacentral:tRNA from 1 species